GGCGCGCAGAGGAACCAGGCCCGUCGGGAAGCUUCUCCGCCGCUGCCAAGAAGACCCUGACGGGAGGCCACUAGGAAGGACCAAAUGCUCCACUUCACGUCCCGGGUGCGUGGCACGGACGGCCCCCAGGGGCAGACAUCUAACACCUCGAAAGCUCUUGGGACUAAAAGGCCCAGAAGACGCGAGCAGAGGGGAGUGGGUUUUCCAGCCUCGCGCAAGUGAGGGUUUGGGGUAGAACAAGAUGCAGGGAACCAACAGUAAAGCACAGUCAGGUGGCACCAGAUCUGUUUUGUUGUCUGCAGGGUGAGCGUGUGGGCCUGGAACACGCUGCUUUACCAGUCUCACUUUUUAAAGAAUCUUCACCAAAAGCA